UACGUAGGGGGCAAGCGUUAUCCGGAUUUACUGGGUGUAAAGGGAGCGUAGACGGCGGUGCAAGUCUGAUGUGAAAGCCCGGGGCUCAACCCCGGGACUGCAUUGGAAACUGUACGGCUGGAGUGCAGGAGAGGUAAGUGGAAUUCCAUGUGUAGCGGUGAAAUGCGUAGAUAUAUGGAGGAACACCAGUGGCGAAGGCGACGAUCUGGACUGAAACUGACGCUGAGGCUCGAAAGCGUGGGGAGCAAACAGG
rnacentral:rRNA from 1 species